rnacentral:rRNA from 1 species
GACGUAGGAUGCAAGCGUUGUCCGGAUUUAUUGGGCGUAAAGAGCUCGUAGGCGGUCUGUCGCGUCUGCUGUGAAAACUCAGGGCUUAACCCUGAGCUUGCAGUGGGUACGGGCAGACUAGAGUGCGGUAGGGGAGACUGGAAUUCCUGGUGUAGCGGUGAAAUGCGCAGAUAUCAGGAGGAACACCGGUGGCGAAGGCGGGUCUCUGGGCCGUAACUGACGCUGAGGCGCGAAAGCCAGGGGAGCGAACGGG